GUGGGGAAUAUUGGACAAUGGGCGAAAGCCUGAUCCAGCAAUGCCGCGUGAGUGAUGAAGGCCUUAGGGUUGUAAAGCUCUUUUACCCGGGAAGAUAAUGACUGUACCGGGAGAAUAAGCCCCGGCUAACUCCGUGCCAGCAGCCGCGGUAAUACGGAGGGGGCUAGCGUUGUUCGGAAUUACUGGGCGUAAAGCGCACGUAGGCGGUUUUGUAAGUUAGAGGUGAAAGCCUGGGGCUCAACCCCAGAAUUGCCUUUAAGACUGCAUCACUUGAACGUCGGAGAGGUGAGUGGAAUUCCGAGUGUAGAGGUGAAAUUCGUAGAUAUUCGGAAGAACACCAGUGGCGAAGGCGGCUCACUGGACGACUGUUGACGCUGAGGUGCGAAAGCGUGGGGAGCAAACAGGAUUAGAAACCCCAGUAGUCC
rnacentral:rRNA from 1 species